GCGGCGGCGGCGGCGGCGCGCACACCCCGCCCGCGCGCGCCGGCGCCGCCCCUCGGCGUCUCCCCGCCCCUCCCGCGAGCACCGCGCUCCGACCCUUUCCUCCCUGAGCUCCGCCGCCGCCUCCCGCAGGCUGCGGGGUCUGAGGGGGUUAGGGUGACAGGUGGCCUCCGAACCCCGGGAGAAAAGGAGCAAAGGCUGAGGAACGGAGACUUUUCGAACUCCAGCCGUUCCAAGGGGGCCCUCAAAUGUCCAUCCAUGCUGUCACAAAUGUGGAUGUGUGAUGCAGCAAUCUGUCCUUUACUUUGAAGGGAAUGUCCUGGCUUGCACCUGACCAUGGCCUGUGCAGAAACUUUACUGAAUUGGCAAGUACUUCAAUUUUUAUAGUUUAUCUCCCUCCUUCUGGAGUACAUGUAUCUUACCAAAGUCUCCAGCAU